rnacentral:lncRNA from 1 species
CCCACAAAAACCACCUUGUACCAUCCGUCUUUACCACCUAUAUGAUAACCAAGUAAUCCAUUUCCUUAUAAAUAUUCCUCCAUUUUGCUCCCAAACUCUUACCUCCUCUUCUUCUUCUUUUCUUUGAUUUUUGCUGUGUUCUCCUCCUUUCGUAAUUUCAAGAAGGAAGUCUAUGGAAGAUUUUGAAGUUCAUCAUAAUCUUCAUAAGAGUGAAAAUUGUUGCAUGGGAAUGAAAGAAGGAGCAAUAAGAGCAGGAGAAGGAUGAGUUAAAGAAUAUGCACAGCUCUUAGGCAAGUCUGACACUUGGCUUAAUUCCAUUUUCAAUUUGAAACUCUCUUUUUCUUUGUCCUCAUAUCAUUCCUUUUUUCUUCACAAUUUAUAAGCUUGGUUCUUUGGUUGUCACGAAAGGGGAAACAAGACAAGAAAGAAGAAAUAUUAAAGGGUUCUAGGGAAAUGGUCUCUUGUAUUGUUAGUUGUAUCAAAGCAACCAAAGACUAAGAAAUCUUCGGAAGGUUUUGUGUUUUCUUUUGAUUUCUUUUCUUUUCCAUUUUUUCUCUAUUGUGUUUUCUGAAGAGAAAUAUCAACUUUGUAAACUCAAAUUUCUGUUGAAAAGUCUGCAAACUCACAAUUCCGAUGUUCUCUUUAACUUUAACUCCACUUUCAAGAACAUAUAUAUAAUUGGGUUCCCUUCCUAUUUCCCUUUUGUUAUUUGGUUUUAUCUCCUUAAUUAAAGAUAACGAUUGAAUACACCGACAAUAUAAUAAAAAAACUUAUAUUAUCAAUUAGUGCAAUUUAACUUGAUAUUAGAAAAAUAAAUCUGUUUAUUUUUUUUAUUAUUUCUUAAAAUUAAUAUUCUCACAUUUCAUUGUUACUAUGUCUCAAAAGAUGCGAUGUCUAUCAGAAUUUUUAGGAUGAAUACCAAGAUGAUUUCGUGAAAUCGUAUCUUGGAAACAAUUUGAGAAAUAAGUAAGAUCGGAAAUAAUAAUAAUGAGAAAAUUAGUUGAAUUUAUUGAUUGUUGUAACUUACUGAGCUUGAUGCAUGCUGGUUGUAAUAAUUAUGAGGUACAUGAUCUUUGUGCACAGAGUGUUAGGUGUGGUACCUUUUCAAGUGUAGCAAUAAUUCCACUUAGGGCUAAAGCUUGUAAUAUUUUGAUUGUAAAGUACAGGAGUUUGUUGACAAUUAUUUAGGGGCGGCUAAGGAAAGUUCAAGUCUUAAUUUACCUACCUUAAAUUAUACUAUAUGUUUCAACCAUGCAUAUACGUAAAUUGUUAAAUAAUUUAUUUUAUAUUUUAUUCAUUUUUAGAACUUAGUAAGCAUCGAGAAGUUAAUGAGAAUCUCAUAAUGCAGAUAUAAUUGGACACCAAGAAUAUUAAAGAAAGAUCAAAUUUGUCACUAUGACUUUGUUUUGACCAAAAUCAGUUUGUCAUUUCUAUGGUCUCAGUGCAAGUUUAUGAAUCAUAUGAAUACUUUAGUGGACUUUGCGCACUAUGCCUUCUAAAGCAAGUUCGUUCAAACUUUUAGGUGAUUUUGAAUGCACCAAUAACUUUUAUCAGUCAUGCCGACGAAUUGAAAUUUAAACAAAUUACUAUAUGAAUACUAAUUAGUGUGACCAUAUGACAUUCAUUAAUUUUUUUAUAAUCGAGAAAGUUUAGAGUGUUAAUGGCACCUAGUUCGAAAUUCGAUUGAACACAUGUCCUCUCUUCUACUCCCUCCCUCCCAAACUAACAGUCACUUCAGUUCAAAAUGUUCUUACAAAAAAAAAAAUUACUUUAAGAAUUCAAGACUAAAUUUGUUAAUUGUUCUCAACUAUAUCCUUAAUAUUGAAGAAAUAGUAGUUCAUUUCAAUACUGCUUAAUUCUUAAAAAGUAUUUAAUAAGAGUAACUUAGAAAACUAUAUCUUGUAUUUAAUUAUUAUUUUCUUAAUGGGCAUCAAAAUAACUAAAACAACAAUUAAAAUGGAAUGGAGGCAGUGUCGGCCGAAGGGGGAAGCAAAUAAAGCAAACGCUUUAGGUCUCCAAAAUUUUGAGGGCCCAUUUUUUUUUAUUAAUAGUAGAUUUAUGAAUUAAUUUUCUUUAAAAAAUUAAGUAUUUUAAAGUAGAAAAGUACAAUUUUUAAUAACCGAAAAACAUAAAUCUUUAAAAUACAUUUGAACAAUUUAAUGUACGAAAAUACUUUUGGUUUUUUAUUUAGCGGUAAAAUGAGAUCACUAGGUGAUGAGAAAUUUAACAAAAAAUGUUGCCUUAACCUCCAAAGUUUCUCAAAAACAUACUUAAUAGUUCCUCUUAUAUGAUGGUUUUGACUUAUUUUUUAAAUUACAAAUAUUACAAAAAAAAAAACAGUACAAGUAGAAGAUAAUACUCUAAUCAACAUAUGCAAUUAAAUAAAAGGACUUGAUUUUUUUCAA